rnacentral:rRNA from 1 species
GACGAACGCUGGCGGCGUGCUUAACACAUGCAAGUCGAACGAUGAAGCUGGAGCUUGCUCCGGUGGAUUAGUGGCGAACGGGUGAGUAACACGUGAGCAAUCUGCCCUUGACUCUGGGAUAACUGCGGGAAACUGUAGCUAAUACAGGAUAUGCGAUCUGAAGGCAUCUUCGGGUUUGGAAAGAAUUUCGGUAAAGGAUGAGCUCGCGGCCUAUCAGCUGGUUGGUGAGGUAAUGGCUCACCAAGGCGACGACGGGUAGCCGGCCUGAGAGGGUGACCGGACACGCUGGAACCGAGACACGGUGCAGACUCCUACGGGAGGCAGCAGUGGGAGAUAUUGCACGAUAGGCGAAAGCCUGAUGCAGCAACGCCGCGUGAGGGAUGAAGGCCUUCGGGUUGUAAACCUCUUUUAGCAGGGAAGAAGCGAAAGUGACGGUACCUGCAGAAAAAGCACCGGCUAACUACGUACCAGCAGCCGCAGUAA